GACGAGCGCUGGCGGCGUGCCUAAUACAUGCAAGUAGAACGCUGAAGGAGGAGCUUGCUUCUCUGGAUGAGUUGCGAACGGGUGAGUAACGCGUAGGUAACCUGCCUGGUAGCGGGGGAUAACUAUUGGAAACGAUAGCUAAUACCGCAUAAGAGUAGAUGUUGCAUGACAUUUGCUUAAAAGGUGCAAUUGCAUCACUACCAGAUGGACCUGCGUUGUAUUAGCUAGUUGGUGGGGUAACGGCUCACCAAGGCGACGAUACAUAGCCGACCUGAGAGGGUGAGCAGCCACACUGAGACUGAGACACGCCCCAGACGCCUACAGGAGGCAGCAGUAGGGAAACGGCGGCAAGGGACGGAAGUCAGACCGAGCAACGCCGCGUGAGGGAAGAAGGAUGUCGGAUCGGAAAGCUCUGUUGUAAGAGAAGAACGAGUGUGAGAGUGGAAAGUACACACUGUGACGGUAUCUGACCAGAAAGGGACGGCUAACUACGUG
rnacentral:rRNA from 1 species